rnacentral:rRNA from 1 species
GACGUAGGGCGCGAGCGUUGUCCGGAUUUAUUGGGCGUAAAGAGCUCGUAGGCGGCUUGUUGCGUCGGCUGUGAAAACCCAUGGCUCAACCGUGGGCUUGCAGCCGAUACGGGCAGGCUAGAGUUCGGUAGGGGAGACUGGAAUUCCUGGUGUAGCGGUGAAAUGCGCAGAUAUCAGGAAGAACACCCGUGGCGAAGGCGGCUCUCUGGGACGGUACUGACGCUGAGACGCGAAAGCGUGGGGAGCGAACAGG